rnacentral:rRNA from 1 species
AUGGCAGAUUCGGAGCAUCGGAUCUGCAGAAAACUAAGGAAAUUAGGAAUUGAAGGGGUUGAGUGGAUAAACAAAAUGGUGCACACAGAUCUUAAUCAUUCAGCUUGGUUAAUGCUUAAUGUCAUGCCUGAUGAGCGUGCUCUAAGAAUUGGGGUAGAUGAUUGUGACAUAGUUCAUAUUAGAGAAGCUGCGACAGCAAACAUAACUAGGAACAGAAUGGGUGGUUCAAUAAAUAUUCCAGUUUGUGAAGGUGCCCCAAGCCAUAGUGAAAUCAAAGUUGUGCGAAGCAUACUGAAACUUUAUGAUGUAACUGAAGAAAUAACAGUUUCUGAACUUGUUGCACUGUUGUUGGGAGAAAGUAAGAAGGGGUUGGAAUUAGAUGAGGAAGGCGCUUCACGCACGGAGAGAUCAUUUGCAAUGCUUUACCUUUCUAUUGCACUUGGUCCGGUGGAGAAAAAAUGUUGUGUGAACAGGAGUUCUUAUAUGAUGGUGAUACUUUAUCCUGAUUUGAAAGAUGUCAAUUGGGGAAAAUAUGUCGUUGAUGAGAUAAUAAGCUGUGCAAGGAAACUGAACCGUGACAAUCCACUGCUUAACAUAACACUGAAGGAAAUAUGCCCUAGGGGCAAUAAUAAAGUUGUUAUUUAUAUUUUCCUUAUAUCAUGA